rnacentral:rRNA from 1 species
GACGAACGCUGGCGGCGUGCUUAACACAUGCAAGUCGAACGGAAAGGCCCUGCUUUUGUGGGGUGCUCGAGUGGCGAACGGGUGAGUAACACGUGAGUAACCUGCCCUUGACUUUGGGAUAACUUCAGGAAACUGGGGCUAAUACCGGAUAGGAGCUCCUGCUGCAUGGUGGGGGUUGGAAAGUUUCGGCGGUUGGGGAUGGACUCGCGGCGUAUCAGCUUGUUGGUGGGGUAGUGGCUUACCAAGGCUUUGACGGGUAGCCGGCCUGAGAGGGUGACCGGCCACAUUGGGACUGAGAUACGGACCAGACUCCUACGGGAGGCAGCAGUGGGGAAUAUUGCACAAUGGGCGGAAGCCUGAUGCAGCAACGCCGCGUGCGGGAUGACGGCCUUCGGGUUGUAAACCGCUUUCGCAUGUGACGAAGCGUGAGUGACGGUAAUGGGUAAAGAAGCACCGGCUAACUACGUG